rnacentral:rRNA from 1 species
UACGUAGGGAGCGAGCGUUGUCCGAAGUUACUGGGCGUAAAGCGCGCGUAGGCGGGCUGUUAAGUGAGAGGUGAAAGGCUGGGGCUCAACCCCAUGCAGUGCCUCUCAUACUGGCGGUCUUGAGUGCGGCAGGGAGAAGUGGAAUGGCUGGUGUAGCGGUGAAAUGCGUAGAUAUCAGUCGGAACACCGGUGGCGAAGGCGGGUCUCUGGGCCGAUACUGACGCUGAGGAGCGAAAGCGUGGGGAGCGAACAGG